AAGAAAAAGAAGAUGAAGAAAAUGAAGAAGAAGAAAAGAAGAAAAAGGAGAAGGAGAAACAAGAGAAGAAGAAAGGAAAGGAACUGAAGAAGGGAUUGAAGGAGGAGGAGGAGGAAGAGGAGGAAGAGGAGGAGGAGGAGGGGGUGGAGGUCAGGAUCCCCCCACCCCCCCUCCUGCCCCCCGCCCACACCUUAGUUAAUUCAAUGCUUCAUAGUGUGUUCACGGAGGGACAGAUAGAGGCCCUGGGCACGGGGGAACCAAGGCUGCAAGUCGUGCUGGGGCCAGGACGACUUCAACUGCGAGGUCGUCUCCUAGUGGUCGUGGCUCUAACUACUACUACUACUACUACUACUACUACUACUACUACUACUGGUGCUGCUGCUGCCUCUGCUAAGGUCGAAUCAACAGAGAAGAGUGAGAGGAGGAGGAGGAGAAGGGAAGAGGAGGAGGAGGAGGAGGAGGAGGAAUGCACGAUCUUCCUUACUGUUGGAGAUGUUUUCUACUUUCCUCCCUCCUCCUCCUCCUCCUCCUCCUCCUCUUCCUCCUUCCUCCACCUCCUCCCCUCAUCGGCCCUGGCAGUCUUCUCCGCAUGAUUGAUAAAUAAACUGAUAGAUAGAUAGAUAGAUAGACAGACACUUGUAACCUAACCUUUAAU